rnacentral:rRNA from 1 species
UUCGCAAUGCCCGAAAGGGUGACGAAGCGACGCCGCGUGCGGGAAGAAGGCCUUCGGGUUGUAAACCGCUGUCGGGAGUUAAGAAAUGCAAGGGUGUUAACAGCAUCCUUGCUUGACUAAGGCUCCGGAGGAAGCCACGGCUAACUCUGUGCCAGCAGCCGCGGUAAUACAGAGGCGGCAAGCGUUGUUCGGAAUUAUUGGGCGUAAAGAGCACGUAGGCGGCUGUGUAAGUCGGUUGUGAAAGCCUUCCGCUCAACGGGAGAACGGCAUCCGAUACUGCAUGGCUUGAGUGCGGGAGGGGGGAGUGGAACUUCUGGUGGAGCGGUGAAAUGCGUAGAUAUCAGAAGGAACACCGGCGGCGAAGGCGACUCUCUGGCCCGUAACUGACGCUGAGUGUGCGAAAGCUAGGGGAGCAAACGGGAUUAGAUACCCCGGUAGUCCUAGCCGUAAACGAUGGGCACUAAGUAGAGGGGUUUU